UACGAAGGGGGCUAGCGUUGCUCGGAAUUACUGGGCGUAAAGCGCACGUAGGCGGCUUUCUAAGUCGGGGGUGAAAUCCUGGAGCUCAACUCCAGAACUGCCUUCGAUACUGGAGAGCUUGAGUCCGGGAGAGGUGAGUGGAACUGCGAGUGUAGAGGUGAAAUUCGUAGAAUAUUCGCAAGAACACCAGUGGCGAAGGCGGCUCACUGGC
rnacentral:rRNA from 1 species